GUUUUUCAUAAUUAAUACGCUUAUAUAUCGUCGUAAUAUGGUCGACAGUUUCUACCCAAUACCGUAAAUGUUGGACUAUAAGCAAAAUUCGUUGCAUG
rfam:Enterococcus columbae DSM 7374 = ATCC 51263 genomic scaffold acyDG-supercont2.3, whole genome shotgun sequence.